UACGUAUGGUGCAAGCGUUAUCCGGAUUUACUGGGUGUAAAGGGAGCGUAGACGGAGUGGCAAGUCUGAUGUGAAAACCCGGGGCUCAACCCCGGGACUGCAUUGGAAACUGUCAAUCUAGAGUACCGGAGAGGUGAGCGGAAUUCCUAGUGUAGCGGUGAAAUGCGUAGAUAUUAGGAGGAACACCAGUGGCGAAGGCGGCUUACUGGACGGUAACUGACGUUGAGGCUCGAAAGCGUGGGGAGCAAACAGG
rnacentral:rRNA from 1 species